rnacentral:rRNA from 1 species
CACAUGCAAGUCGAGCGGUAGCACAAGGAGCUUGCUCCUGGGUGACGAGCGGCGGACGGGUGAGUAAUGUCUGGGAAACUGCCCGAUGGAGGGGGAUAACUACUGGAAACGGUAGCUAAUACCGCAUAACGUCUUCGGACCAAAGUGGGGGACCUUCGGGCCUCACACCAUCGGAUGUGCCCAGAUGGGAUUAGCUAGUAGGUGAGGUAAUGGCUCACCUAGGCGACGAUCCCUAGCUGGUCUGAGAGGAUGACCAGCCACACUGGAACUGAGACACGGUCCAGACUCCUACGGGAGGCAGCAGUGGGGAAUAUUGCACAAUGGGCGCAAGCCUGAUGCAGCCAUGCCGCGUGUGUGAAGAAGGCCUUCGGGUUGUAAACCACUUUCAGCCGAGA